CCACCCCCUAACCCCUAUGUAACCCCAUAACGCCUCCUGUACCCAUCCCCUAUUUACCCCAUAACCCUCCUGUACCCAUCCCCUAUGUAACCCCAUAACGCCUCCUGUACCCAUCCCUAUGUAACCCCAUAACGCAUCCUGUACCCAUCCCUAUGUAACCCCAUAACGCCUCCUGUACCCCAUCCCCUAUGUAACCCCAUAACGCCUCCUGUACCCAUCCCCCCUAUGUAACCCAGUAACGCCUCCUGUACCCACCCCCAUGUAACCCCAUAACGCCUCCUGUACCCACCCCCUAUGUAACCCCAUAACGCCUCCUGUUACCACACCCCCUAUGUACCCCCAUAACGCCUCCUGUACCCACCCCUAUGUAACCCCAUAACGCCUCCGUACCCACCCCUAUGUAACUCCCAGAACGCCUCCUGUACCCACCCCCUAUGUAACCCCAUAACGCCUCCUGACCCACCCCCUUGUAACCCAUAACGCCUCCUACCCCCCCCCUAUGUAACCCCCAUAACGACCUCCUGUACCCACCCCCUAUGUAACCCCAUAACGCCUCCUGUAAACCCACCCCCUAUGUAACCCAUAACCCUCCUGUACCACCCCUAUGUAACCCCAUAACGCCUCCUACCCACCCUAAUGUAACCCCAUAACGCCUCCUUACCCCACCCCCCUAUACCUGAUGAACCCCAUAACGCCUCCUGUACCCACCCCCUAAUCCCCUAUGUAACCCAUAACGCCUCCUGUACCCAUGCCCCAUGAUGUAACCCAUAACGCGCUCUGUACCAUCCCUAUGUAACCCAUAACGCCUCCUGUUACCAUCCCUAUGUACCCCAUAGCGCCCUCCUGUACCCAUCCCUAUGUACCCCAUAACGCCUCCUGUACCCAUCCCCUAUGUAACCCCAUAACGCCUCCUGUACCCAUCCCCUAUGUAACCCAUAACGCCUCCUGUACCACCCUAUGUAACCCCAUAACGCCUCCUGUACGCAUCCCCUAUGUAACCCCAUAACGCCUCCUGACCACUCCCUAUGUAACCCCAUAACGCGCUCCUGUACCCAUCCCCUAUUAACCCAUAACGCCUCCUGUACCCAUCCCCUAUGUAACCCUAUAAGCCUCCUGUACCCCUC
rnacentral:lncRNA from 1 species